rnacentral:rRNA from 1 species
AUAUCAAUAAGCGGAGGAAAAGAAACUAACAAGGAUUCCCCUAGUAACUGCGAGUGAAGCGGGAAAAGCUCAAAUUUAAAAUCUGGCGGUCUUUGGCUGUCCGAGUUGUAAUCUAGAGAAGUGUUAUCCGCGCUGGACCGUGUACAAGUCUCCUGGAAUGGAGCGUCAUAGAGGGUGAGAAUCCCGUCUUUGACACGGACUGCCAGGGCUUUGUGAUGCGCUCUCAAAGAGUCGAGUUGUUUGGGAAUGCAGCUCAAAAUGGGUGGUAAAUUCCAUCUAAAGCUAAAUAUUGGCGAGAGACCGAUAGCGAACAAGUACCGUGAGGGAAAGAUGAAAAGAACUUUGGAAAGAGAGUUAAACAGUACGUGAAAUUGCUGAAAGGGAAACGCUUGAAGUCAGUCGCGUUGGCCAGGGAUCAACCUUGCUUUUGCUGGGCGUACUUCCUGGUUAAUGGGUCAGCAUCAAUUUUGACCGUUGGAUAAAGGUUAGGGGAAUGUGGCAUCUUCGGAUGUGUUAUAGCCCUUGGUCGCAUACAACGGUUGGGAUUGAGGAACUCAGCACGCCGCAAGGCCGGGUAUUUAUACCACGUUCGUGCUUAGGAUGCUGGCAUAAUGGCUUUAAUCGACCCGUCUUGAAACACGGACCAAGGAGUCUAACAUGCCUGCGAGUGUUUGGGUGGAAAACCCGAGCGCGUAAUGAAAGUGAAAGUUGAGAUCCCUGUCGUGGGGAGCAUCGACGCCCGGACCAGACCUUUUGUGACGGCUCCGCGGUAGAGCAUGUAUGUUGGGACCCGAAAGAUGGUGAACUAUGCCUGAAUAGGGUGAAGCCAGAGGAAACUCUGGUGGAGGCUCGUAGCGAUUCUGACGUGCAAAUCGAUCGUCAAUUGGG